UGCAGUCGAGCGAUUAAAGCUCCUUCGGGAGUGUAUAAAGCGGCGAACGGGUGAGUAACAGGUGGAUGAUCUGCCUCCCGGUGGGGGAUAACGGCUGGAAACGGCCGCUAAUACCGCAUUCGGUUGUUGCGUUGCGACGCAAUAAAGAAAGGCGCUUCACGGCGUCGCCGGGAGAUGAGUCCGCCCCCCAUUAGCUAGUUGGUGAGAUAAUAGCCCACCAAGGCAACGAUGGGUAGCCGAGCUGAGAGGUUGAUCGGCCACACUGGGACUGAGACACGGCCCAGACUCCUACGGGAGGCAGCAGUGGGGAAUUUUGGACAAUGGGCGCAAGCCUGAUCCAGCCAUGCCGCGUGAGUGAAGAAGGCCUUCGGGUUGUAAAGCUCUUUCAGUCGGGAAGAAACGGCGCGCUCUAACAUAGCGUGUUAAUGACGGUACCGACAGAAGAAGCACCGGCUAACUACGUGCCAGCAGCCGCGGUAAUACGUAGGGUGCGAGCGUUAAUCGGAAUUACUGGGCGUAAAGCGUGCGCAGGCGGUUCCCUAAGACAGGUGUGAAAUCCCCGGGCUCAACCUGGGAAUGGCGCUUGUGACUGGCGGGCUAGAGUACGGCAGAGGGGGGUGGAAUUCCACGUGUAGCAGUGAAAUGCGUAGAGAUGUGGAGGAACACCGAUGGCGAAGGCAGCCCCCUGGGCCGAUACUGACGCUCAUGCACGAAAGCGUGGGGAGCAAACAGGAUUAGAUACCCUGGUAGUCCACGCCCUAAACGAUGUCGACUAGUCGUUCGGAGAGGUAACUUUCUGAGUGACGCAGCUAACGCGUGAAGUCGACCGCCUGGGGGAGUACGGUCGCAAGAUUAAAACUCAAAAGGAAUUGACGGGGGACCCGCACAAGCGGGUGGAUGAUGUUGGAUUAAUUUCGAUGCAACGCCGAAAAAACCUUUACCUACCCUUUGACAUGGCCUGGGAACUUUGCCAGAAGAUGGCUUUGGUUGCU
rnacentral:rRNA from 1 species